rnacentral:rRNA from 1 species
AACGAACGCUGGCGGCAUGCCUAACACAUGCAAGUCGAACGAGACCUUCGGGUCUAGUGGCGCACGGGUGCGUAACGCGUGGGAACCUGCCCUUAGGUUCGGAAUAACUCCCCGAAAGGGGUGCUAAUACCGGAUAAUGUCUUCGGACCAAAGAUUUAUCGCCUUUGGAUGGGCCCGCGUUGGAUUAGCUAGUUGGUAGGGUAAAAGCCUACCAAGGCGACGAUCCAUAGCUGGUCUGAGAGGAUGAUCAGCCACACUGGGACUGAGACACGGCCCAGACCCCCAGGGGAGGCAGCAGGGGGGAAUAUGGAAAAAGGGGCGAAGGCCUGACCCAGAAAUGCCGGGGGAGUGAUGAAGGCCUUGGGGUUGUAAGGCUUUUUUCCCCGGGAUGAUAAUGAAAGUACCGGGAAAAUAAGCCCCGGCUAACUCCGU